GCCUGGGUCAGCUUCCAAGCUCCAUUGCUUCCAAACAAUGUGACCUGGAGCAAGUUAGCUAACUUCUCUGUGCCUCUGUUUCCUCAUCUGUGAAGUGGGGAUAUUAUUUAUGUCUACGAUUGUUAUGAAGAUUAAAU
rnacentral:snoRNA from 1 species